rnacentral:misc_RNA from 1 species
ACAGCUCUGCGGAGCCCAAGCAAUAGCAUUCACACUCGCCUGAUGCCUUUCCAGUUCAGCCACCGGCAUUGCUGGAGACCUAAUAUCUAAGAUCACAAUCUUGUUGCUAUCCAUCAAUAUGGUAGCCAUGUAUCUCAAAUCCUGUUUGUUCCAAGCCAACCUCAACAAUGGCGUAUCCGGUUUCGGGCUCUCAUAAAUAAUCGUCGAGUGUUCCUUAUCUCUCAAAUCAAAAAUCCUAACGGAUCCAUCAGCAGAAACAGACGCAAAAACCCCAGCUUCACCCCAAGCUAUAUCGUAAACCUCUUUGUCAUGUGCUAUCAAUUGAGUUUCCACAACUCCUUUUUCAACAUCCCAGAUGGUACAAGUAGUGUCUAUACUAGAAGUACCAAUUCUUCUCGGCUCCACUUCAUUCCAAUCAAAAGACGUCAAAGGAGCACAGUAUUCACUGGUUUUAUUGUUACUGAGAGUGAAAAGUGGUUCAAUGGAAGUAUCAGUAACAUCCCAGAGACGGAGGUAGUCGCCGGAAGAGGCAAGAAUAUCAUUAGUCUUGAGAGAAGCAGAAGGAUUAGGAUGAAACAUGAGCUUUGUUGGUGGAUAAGGGUGUUCGAAAGAGAGAUUUGGAACGGGCUUAAGGGUUAGGGUAUCUUCGUCGAAAGAGAGAAUAUCAACCCGAUUGUUGAACUCUUCGAUAAAGCUUCCGACGGCAAGUCGACGGCGGCGGUUUGUGAGGGAAGAAGUGAAGGAUGAAAAAGCCAUAGCGUAGAUCGGGUAAGAGGAGUCAUAUGUAACGGAAUUUUCAGAUCGGAGAUGCGAUUCUUGACUUGAAUUCUCCAUUUCUACUAGAGAUUAUAAUUGAAAUGAAGUUGAAGUUAUGUAUGUUUGUGCUUUAUGGGUUUGGUGACAAAAAUUGGAGUUAAAAAAACAGAGUGUUGACCGGCCGUUCGCUGGGAGAUAAGACCAAGUAAGCGGCGG